UACGGGGGGGGCAAGCGUUGUUCGGAAUUACUGGGCGUAAAGGGUUUGUAGGUGGCUUGUUAAGUCAGACGUGAAAUCCCUCAGCUUAACUGGGGAACUGCGUCUGAUACUGGCGAGCUUGAGUGCAGGAGAGGAACGCGGAAUUCCCGGUGUAGCGGUGAAAUGCGCAGAUAUCGGGAGGAACACCUAUGGCGAAGGCAGCUCGCUGGGACGUUACUGACGCUGAGACGCGAAAGCGUGGGGAGCAAACAGG
rnacentral:rRNA from 1 species